AUUCCAGUUGAUUCUGCUGGAGAUGACCACUAGAGGAGUUGGGCUGAGACAUGCAAGUUUUAUCUGCCGGCAAGGCAGAUGGCGGACGGCUGAGGUAAAACACAGAUAACAUACCCUGUGGUCUUGGAUAUCCUCGGGAAACUGAGGGUAAACCAAGAUAGCAGUUAUUUCUGGAAUGAUUUAACUGCGAAAGAGCAUAACUGUUGCCGUUAUGUUCGCCACAGGAUUGGUCUGUGCCCCAUCAGGUAGUUGGCGGGGUAACGGCCCACCAAGCCUAAGACGGGUAGGGGUAGUUGGCGCUAUAUCCCCCAGAGGCGCACUGAGACAAGGGCGCCAGCGCUUCGGCGUGCAGCAGUCCCGAAUUCUCUGCAAUGCGCGUAAGCGUGACAGGGCAACUCCUCGUGUAGCAUUUCUCUUUAGAAAUGCUACUUUUGCCAUGCGAUGAAAUAGCAUGGAGAAUAAGGGCUGGGUAAACGGGUGCCAGCACCCGCGGUAAUACCCGUAGCCCGAGUGGUCAUCACAUUUACUGGGUCUAAAGCGUCCGUAGCUGGCUAAAGACAUACGCACUUAAAUUGCUUGGCUCAACCAAGCAGCUGGUGCGUAUAUUCUUUAGCUAGGGGUCGGGAGGAGGGAAGGGUACUCCAUGGGUAAGAGCCAAAUCUACCGAGCCAUGGAAGACCGGCAGUGGCGAAGGCGCUUCCCUAGAACGAACCCGACAGUGAGGGACGAAGGCUGGGAGAACGAACCGGAUUAGAUACCCGGGUAGCCCCAGCAGUAAACGCUGCUCACUAAGUGUUGCAAUUCCCUCGUGGAAUUGCAGUGCUUAAGCGAAGGCGUUAAGUGAGCCACCUGGGGAGUACAGCCGCAAGGCCGAAACUUAAAGAAAUUGGCGGGGGGGCACAAAAACGGGUGAGAUAUGCGGUUCAAUUGGAGUCAACUCCGGGAACCUUACCAGGGCCGACAGCAGGAUGAAGCUCAGACUAAAGAUCUUAGCUAACGCGCUGAGAGGUGCUGCAUGGCCGUCGUCAGCUAGUAUUGUGAAACGUCCCGUUAAGUCGGGUAACUAGCAAGACCCUCAUCUCUAUUUGCUAACGCCCUCGUGGGAGCGAGCAAAAUAGAGAGACUGCCCUCGAAAGGGGGAGGAAGGUGAGGGCGACGGCAGGUCAGUAUGGCCCGAAUGCCCUGGGCUACACGCGUAUCGCAUUGCUAGCGGCAAUGGGAUGCAACUCCGAAAGGAGAAGCCAAUCCUCUAAUCGCUAGCCUGGUUAGGAUUGAGGCCUGCAACUCGGCCUCAUGAAUGCGGAAUCCGUAGUAACCGCGAAAUAGCGAUUCGCGGUGAAUACUUCCCUGCCCCCUGCACACACUGCCCGUCACGCCAGUCAAGUCGGGAUUUGAUGAGGUGCUCAAAGCAUCGAAUCAAAUCUCGAUGAGAAGGGCGAAGUCGCCACAAGGUAGCCGUACGGGAACGUGCGGCUGGAUCACCUCUU
rnacentral:rRNA from 1 species